rnacentral:rRNA from 1 species
GAUGAACGCUGGCGGCGUGCCUAACACAUGCAAGUCGAACGGAGCUGUCGGAGCUUGCUUUGACAGCUUAGUGGCGAACGGGUGAGUAACGCGUGAGCAACCUGCCCUUGAGAGGGGGAUAACAUCGGGAAACCGAUGCUAAUACCGCAUAAAAUAUGCAGAUGGCAUCAUUGGCAUAUCAAAGGAGAAAUCCGCUCAAGGAUGGGCUCGCGUCUGAUUAGAUAGUUGGUGAGGUAACGGCCCACCAAGUCGACGAUCAGUAGCCGGACUGAGAGGUUGACCGGCCACAUUGGGACUGAGACACGGCCCAGACUCCUACGGGAGGCAGCAGUGGGGAAUAUUGGGCAAUGGGGGGAACCCUGACCCAGCAACGCCGCGUGAAGGAAGAAGGCCUCGGUUGUAACUUCUUGUACAGGGAAGAAGGAAGUAGACGGUACCCUGAGAACAAGCUCCGGCUAACUACGUGCCAGCAGCCGCGGUAAUACGUAG